rnacentral:sRNA from 1 species
UCUUGGUCAUUUAGAGGAAGUAAAAGUCGUAACAAGGUUUCCGUAGGUGAACCUGCGGAAGGAUCAUUACCGAGUGAGGGCCCUCUGGGUCCAACCUCCCACCCGUGUUUAUUUUACCUUGUUGCUUCGGCGGGCCCGCCUUAACUGGCCGCCGGGGGGCUUACGCCCCCGGGCCCGCGCCCGCCGAAGACACCCUCGAACUCUGUCUGAAGAUUGUAGUCUGAGUGAAAAUAUAAAUUAUUUAAAACUUUCAACAACGGAUCUCUUGGUUCCGGCAUCGAUGAAGAACGCAGCGAAAUGCGAUACGUAAUGUGAAUUGCAAAUUCAGUGAAUCAUCGAGUCUUUGAACGCACAUUGCGCCCCCUGGUAUUCCGGGGGGCAUGCCUGUCCGAGCGUCAUUGCUGCCCUCAAGCACGGCUUGUGUGUUGGGCCCCGUCCUCCGAUCCCGGGGGACGGGCCCGAAAGGCAGCGGCGGCACCGCGUCCGGUCCUCGAGCGUAUGGGGCUUUGUCACCCGCUCUGUAGGCCCGGCCGGCGCUUGCCGAUCAACCCAAAUUUUUAUCCAGGUGACCUCGGAUCA